UGUUAGCAGGAGGAGAGGGUGUGGGAAUUGGCAGGGUGCUGCUGAAUUCCAGUUUCAAGAGGUGGAUCCCUUUCCUGGGAUGGGCAGAGUGGAUUUCAUCCCUCCUGGCUGAAGCUCCCUAAAACCAAAAAUGAAAAGACCCUGCGAAUUUUACAUCCCAAUCCACUGAACCUGGGAGCAGCCCUUUUCAUUUUGUACCGUACAGGGCUCACUGCAUGCUGCCUUCUUGACAUCAGGGAAGAUGCUCCUGGAUCCACCAGGAAAAAAGUCCUGGCUUCACUCCAGUACUUCAGCAAAAUCCUGUUCCUUUUCUCUAGGCAUUGAUGGGAGCUUGCUGCUAUCUUAAAUGCAAGAUCAGCCCCAGUCCUGUCCUUCCUCUGUUCAUUAAAAUACAUUGAUUUAAACCUGUUGCUCUCUUUCUACAGCUCAGCUCUGCUAUGAUCCCACAUCCAACACCUGCAAGCCAAACAUAGCCUAGAUCAUCUCUGGAUAGGACUGGGGCAACUUUUGUACAGCUGUCAUUUUAAAGGAUAAUUACAAGCAUGACUUACAGGAUAAUAAGCAGAGAUAAAACUAAUUCCAGUAACCCAUCUCACUGUGGUGGAACCAGGGGAAAAACUCCUUUUCUGCGGUUUAUGGGAGGAAGGGAACAGUUGAGACUGAGCGCUGGUGCUGUCGUUGUCACUGAGGAGGUAACCAGAACGAGUCUGUCCAAAACCAGCAAAGUUUGGUAAAGCUUUUGAGCUAGAUUAAACUCAGGGAGAGGUUUAUCUGCUUGUGCAGCCUCCUGAAUCACCAGCUGGGGAUGCGCAGGGAGCGGCAAUUUUGGGUUGAGUAGACAGAGGAACGUCAAAGAGAGGUCUAACUGCCCCAAAUGACAAAGAACCUUUUGCUCCCCCAGUGCCUGAUGUCACCAUCUCAGCCAGGGCAUUCAGCAUCUUCCAGGAACCCAGGGCUGCAUCACAAAGGAACAACGGGAUAGAGGCACCAAACCCCUGCCUGGUUUUAUGCCUCAUAAACAAACUGCCUCGUAAAUAUGCCUUGUAAAUAAAAUAAAUAAAUACAGUAGUAGUGAUUUCCUUUGGUUUCAUCAGCUGAGAAGCUUACACCAAUGUGAGAUGCUGCCAAAAGUACUGGUCCUGUCCCUGCCCUUACUCCAGCCUUUCUCCCCAUCCUGGUUUUGGCUCAGCACUGUCAGUUUUUGGCUGGGCUCAUUCCAGCUUGCAGGUCGGUGGUGACAAGGGGAGGUAGAAAAGCUCUUCUGGAGCCCAAGCAUCCCCUUUUGAUACCACUCAUUUAUUUCUUCCUUAGCCCUCCUUAUGAAAUUUCCCACUGAGGACAUUUAUUUUCCCUCUCUCCUUUUUUUUUCAGCCACUUCAUUUAUUGCCAAUGAACUGAUUUGUUCAGGCUGAGAAGGGUCAGCAGAUAAUGGAAAUACAUGUUUAUGGGGAAAAGACAGUGCAAAUGCCAAGGAAAUAUGGCUGGGAGGCAGCUGGAAAGCCAAGGUGCAUCCAGCAACGUAGACAUGAUACACACAGGGACAUAGACAUGAUACACACAGGGAUCCCCAAGGACUGUGUGUGUGUAUGUAAUAUAAACAUCUAUUACUUAAAUGUUUCUAUAUAUUUAAUCUAUAUACAUUUAUAUUAUGGAUGUGCUAGAA